GGGUCAGUAGGUUGGUCGUGCCACCGGUACGUACUGGUCUCACUGAUUCCUCCUUCCUGAAGUACCGUAAUGCCAUUAAUUUGGUGUUGCGGGGAAACAGGACUGUUACUUUGAAAAAAUUAGAGUGUUUAAAGCAAGCUAAGGCUUGAAUACAUUAGCAUGGAAUAAUGAAAUAGGACGAUCGAUCCUAUUUUGUUGGUUUCUAGGAUUGACGUA
rnacentral:rRNA from 1 species